AGAGUAUAGCUCAGUGGUAGAAUGUGUGCUUAGCAUGCACGAGGUCCUGGGUUCAAUCCCCAGUACCUCCA
rnacentral:tRNA from 1 species